UCCCUGAAUUCAGAGGAUUUGAUGUCCAGCUCUUUAUGCUGCAUUUGGAAACCUGGUGAGGACUCCUUGCCAUCGGCACAGUUUGAUGUAGCAUGGACUGCUGUUCUGUCAAGGAGGAAUACCCAGUUUUGUUGUGCACCUCAUCGUGACCCCCCACCCAACUGACUGUUGCCAUUUCUGGCCCUGGUUACUAUUCCCAUCUCCUCUCUUCAGAAGUAACGGUUGACAAUGCAUGUGGUAGUAGAGCCCCAGAUGGAAAAAUCAAAAGAAAGAACACACUGAUAACUGUGAUUUUGGUUAAAGUGAAAAAUACACAGGCCUGAAGUCCUACAGUGGUUUACUCAGGGGCUCAACUCUCUGAGCAAGGAUACUAGGCAGAGGAAUAUGACUGCAAGUCUGCUGCAGAGAAGCAAAAGAAAGAUAAUGCUGGAGUCUACAAAUAUUCAGGAAGCUAAAAGCACAAGAGCCCAUUAUGGUGAACUGCAGACACAGCAUACCGCUUGCAGAACUGCCGACCUGGUUGCAACAAAGCAAAUGUCCCAUUAGUCAUCAGAACAGGUUCCAGUCUGCAGUCUGCCUUCGCCUACCUAUCACCACUGCACAUGCGAGGUGAGAGUAUAACUGACACUUCUCAUUAGGUAUAUUUAUAUACUUGCGUAUAGAAGACAUUUCUAAGCUUUUGCACUGGUUGCCCCUGGCUACUGCAGUACUAUGUGAUGAAUCCUGUUCUAAAUACAGGAAGUGCGGCUGUAACAGCAAGCAAUAGAAGCACAACUGAUACGUGGUAUGAUAUCCCUUGCUAGCAUGUAUGGUAAAAAUAAGAAGUUCUGCUUUCAACGUGUCUGAUCGUCUCAUCCGCUUUUAUUCACACAGACCUCACAUUUAUGUCAGUUUGAAUUCUGAUUUGUGCCUUUGAGAGCAACAAUCACAAAUACAUUAUCAUUCAGUAACUAAUUUUUCACAUCUUAUGCACAACUCUUAGACCAGUAGGCUCUGUUAGCUCAGACAUCUACUUGAAAUCAAUAGGUUUAACGACUUUCAUUCUGUGCUUUUGUAAGUCACUAGAAUUUUGAUGAAUUUAAGAUCCGCAUGACAGCAGAGGUCAAAGGGCACAUUUCUCUGUUAGAGUUAUGGUGAGAAGAGAGCUGCCACUGAGUUAAGUGAGACAGAAUUUGGGAUGACGUUGCUCAUAUCUUCUUAAAAUAUCCCUGGGCCUGAGUCAAAAGAUGCUGGACCACUGUGUAAAAGCUGUGUAUUUUCUUUGACUGAUACCGAGUUUAAUUGCAG
rnacentral:lncRNA from 1 species